AUUCUCUCCCAUAGUAACCUCACAUCUGAAUAAAAUUUGAAUACCGCUCUAGUGCUCCUAUCAGCAAUACACCCUCAUGCCUUCCAGUGGGUAGAGAUCUCCUGUUUACUUCUUAUCCCCUUUUGGUUCCAAUGUGAAAGUACUUAUGUUGCUGCUUUUCUCUCUCACAGCAUUAGUCUGUCCUCCAAAAGGCAUCAACAGUCAAGUGAAAGGAUUUUCAGCACUUAUGCCUACUCACGUGCCUGCCUGUUCUGUGUCCAGCUCAGGAAUAGAUCCACAAUGGUCCAGGCAUGAAGGGCCAAGGGAGGGCAUGGGAAGGAAUUAAUGUUGCAAUGUAAAAGCGUCCCAGAAGACAGGGAUUGAUGGGCAGCUGUGGAGACUCUGUGCUAGCAGUACUCUAUUUCAUAGAAUUCAACUCAGUUUCAUUACUCUCCUGCAGCAAAAGAACAGAAAAGGAGGGCCAGGGUCUCACAGCCAGCUCUGAACUGUUUUCUGUAGAGCAGAGGAUCAAUGCCCUCCUCACAGUUUGCAUCCUGACUCAGCAUAAUCCUAUUUGGGGCAGCCUCAGACUCUUGAAAGGGCACAGUGGUCAGUAAGAAAAUGCUGGAGCCUGCCUGUCUCACUGGGCUCAACUCAGUUCUAAUCUGCUCCAUAUAGCCACCCAGCUCCUCCUGUGAAAGACACGAAUAACUUCUCAUUGCUCUUUGAAAUAACAUCUGACUGCUGCUGCUGCUGGCUUAUAGGAUUCUAUCCUGUGGGCUCCUUUCUGCUUUCCUCAUCUUUAAUUUACCCAUUUUAAAAAUCUGUUUCAUGUAUGUUUGCUCAUACAGAACAUUUAUUUGGUAAGAUGCAUAUUUUCCUUGUGUUCUUUCUUAUAACCCAGCAUCUAGAGAACUGUCUAGUUUGUACUCACUGCUCAAAACUGUCUGUUGACUUUAUAAAUGAACAUUAUCUGCAACAUGUAAAUGAACAUAAACUCCCUCCCAACACUGCUUUCCGGAUGUCUUGGUUUGAAGAACAUGAGGAGUGUAAUGGCCUAGAAACAAGUCUUGGAUCAGGUAUUCCACUGCAAUUUCAAUUAACAGCAUAAGCCUAGAAGGAUCCUCAGCCUCAGAUUUUUGUUUUUGUUGUUGUUGUUGUUAUUGUUUUGUUUGUUUGUUUGUUUUUAAAUAUGUUAGUAGUAUUGACUUCAUCAUGGACAGGUAAGUUGACGUGCUAUUCGGCAUCAAAUGGCAUUGGACGAUUAUUGUGUGCCAGGCGCUGUCCUUGGUACUGAUUGUGCCAACCUAAAUGAGAUACAUUCCCUGCCUAGGAUUCAGGAUGAGAAGGGUAUAUAAAUAAGUUAUAACUGUCUACUAUAUGGUCCAAAAGGAAACCAAUGGAAACACAAGAUGACACAGCUGAGCAACAAGUCAGCUCAUCUGAGGUUUGGAACGGAGACUACUCUUAAGUUAGUUGUGAUGGUCAGUGGGAUUAUCCCCUCACAGUAGGGUCAUACUAGUGUGUGGGCCACACAAAGGCGUGACAGUCAUGGAAUAGAAAGUAGUUCACCAUCACUGGUUACAAAGUAUGAAGUAGAAAUAAGGUCGGACUGGUAUACUUGCCCACAAAGUAUAAAACUUUAUGCUAGGCUAAGGAGUCCUAUAAGAAAAAGGUUUUAAAUGGACUCAUACCAAAGCAUAUCCUUCAGGGAAAGAAAUCAUUCUAAGAGUUGCCUGGAGGGUGGCAUAGGAGAAAACAGUAGAAAUAAACAGAGAGUAAAUUGUGACAAUAAUAUGGGCAAGCAGGCUUCAUGUAGUGUCUGAAAGAUGAUGAAAAGCAGAUAGGACCAUUGACAACUGUGGGAUGCCUUCAUUCGGAAACAGCUGGAGGUUCCAGGCAUAGGUCAUUGAUAAAUAGCAUUUUUACAUUAUUUAUUCAUCUAUUCAUUGAAAAAUAACAGCAUAUGGAAAGAGGUGUUUAGGAACAAACAUUCAAAGUCUGCUUUUAAGCCCUCGAGUCUGUUUCUUAUGCAAACAGAUGUGUGGUAGAUUGUGGUCCCUGUCCUUUUUGCUUCUGCAUGGUCACGGAAGCUGGGACCCCUACAAGGGAUCCAUCAUUCCUUCACCUUCUCUCAGGUGUGAGGAAAGCCAGUUAUGAUGGCUUCCUUCCUCACGAGGGUGUAGUGGGGCUUUCUUAGCUGUUGAAAGAGCUGUGUCACGUGCAGACAAAAAGAGCUCUGUUCGUGAGGAGCAUAAGGAGACCGAGCAUAAAGAAGCAUUUAAAAGGCUGCCUGAAGGGUAGGAGACAGGCUUGCAGGGGGCUCAUAAUGAGACUUAAAGAUUCAGAGAUGAAAAACAGAAGAUACAGGCAGCAGAAGAUGUGGAUGAGUUCUCUCUCCAGAUGGAUUAACAUUUGGAUCGUUUUUCCCAGAUGUGAGUGCCCAGGAUUUAAAACCUACCAUAUUUCUUCUGCAGGGGGAUACUCACACAGAGGCAGUUGAGAUCCCCUGGGGGUGGCAUAAAGACACAGCUGUCAUCAACUCACUGUGGAGACAUCACUACAAAGGUGCAGGAGCCGGGGGCCAUGCGAUUUCAAGCAUGAGUUACAACUUGUCACAGGCCAGGGAGCUACCACCAGUCAUGCUCACAAAGCCCAUGGGGAAUGGACAUCAGACGACUGAGUCCAGAAGCCUGGAAAAGAUAGAAAAGUUUGCUUGGUCCUAAAUGCCAGAUGGUUUCCUUUCAGUUCAGACUUCCCAAGUGUCCCCAGCAAAUUUUCCUCUCAGCUAACCUUUGAGGCAAGCCUCUCUCCCAACCCCCUUUCCCUUCCCUGGAUGCAACUGCCUCCUGCCAGCUGUUCUCCCUCACCCCAAGGGCUCUGUGGAAAUGAAGCUUUGUAAGUUCUGGAGGGGGAAAAUGUCUCCCGUAAGAAACAAGUCUCCAGAAUCAAGAGUGGCGUCUUCUGCCUGCAUGAUGUGACUCCUUCACACAGGUACUUCUCACCUACUCCCAUCCCUCCCGCCAUAACCAGCACAGGGUGCUUGUGCUUCCCCUUCAACCUGAAAAAUUACAUUUCCUCCAAGCUUCUAGCCAGAGCUGAAUUCUCGCUAUUCCUUGCUCUCCCAGCUCAUUUGUUAGGCUUUGUUGUCUACAACCCUGAGUCUAUUUGAACUGUACUUGCUGUGUAUCUAAGUUUCUCUCCUGUUCUCAGCCUUGGAGGGACUCACUGUGUUAGCUUCCAGGUUCUGCCACAUGGAAGCCACUUAGACAGUGUUUGUGGAAUUCAUUAGAAUAGGUGAGGAGAAGCCACACAAGGUGCACUGCUGCAGUGAGGAAAGGCAGGUGUUCUCAAAACGAGUGUGUUUAUAUGAGCUGCCUGGAUUUCAUAACCCAAUGUUAUUGCAGGGGGAUUUAGGGAUGUCUGGUCUGGCAAGAGCCGUGGUUAUAAGCUUGACUAGUCUCUGGCCGGAGCUGCCAGCAGUUCACAGGGGCGGAGGCUUCAUGACUCUGGGAAGCAGCCUGGCUUAGACACAGAUUGGUGGAAUGCUGGCACUGGCUCCUUGAAAUAGCAAGACAGUGUCUGGUCCUCUGGGUUUCUCAAUGUCUUCUUCUGCAAAGUGAUGAGUAUCAUUCCCGUGCUCGCCAACAGUUAGAUGAACAGUGGAACUUGUGGUACAGGUGGGCACUUCUCAGUGUCUGGUGCCAAACUGGCAUGCAACCAAUUUGUUUAAUAAUUCAUUCAUUGGUAGAGAAUAUUAACUAAGAAGUACACAGCCUAGAGAUGGAGACCCCUAAGACUUCAAACAAGGUUUGAAGAUGAGGUGCAGGUUAACAGAAGUAUAUUUAAAUUAAUGCCCUGGGAACCCAUAGACCAUACCAACCAGAGAAGCAGGUAGGUUAACUACAGAUCUUCAUCAUUCCUUCCUCUCCUCCAAAUUCAAUCCCCCAGUCUCAUUACCUGCUCUGUAGCAAAUAACCUUCUUCAGCCUUCCCUUUCUCUAUGCCCUGAUCUCCAAUGGAUCACACAGAUCUCCUUCAACCUGCCUUCUCCCUCUACUCAUUUCAUUUCCCAUCCCAAGCAAGCACCUGAGAAUCCACCAGUCAAGCCUGCCAGAGAAGCAAGUAGGCAAGCUAGGCAGCUUCUCUAGCUUCAGGUCUUUACUGUCCCUCCUCUUCUCUAAACACAACCCUCCAAUCUCAUCCCCAACUCCACUAAAGAUUACCUACUACAGCCUCUCCUCACUCUCUGCCCCAUUCCCAAAGGACUAAGCAGAUCCUGAUGACACACCCAGAUUCCUCCCUCAUGUAGAUCCUCAGCAACUCCCCCCAGCCCAUCCUCAUUCCCAGGUGUCAGCACACAAAACCUAGAAACAUCCAAGCUUCAACCCCCAUGGAUCACUGAAGAGUUACCUCCUAGGAAACAUACAACCACCACAGCCUCCUAAGAACAGGAGCAGGCAACAGAAACCAAGGAACAAGACAACAGCCCAACAGAAACAAGACCAGGUAUCAGCACCUAGAAUUACAACCAUCCCGAGCCCAUAUGUCUAGAUACCAGCAUAAAAACACCAUCAACAAUAACCAGGACAAUAUGUCCAUUCAAGCCCAGCAACCCUACUAAAGUAGGCCCUGAAAAAUGCAACAUAACUGAAACACAAGACAAGACUUUUAUAGUGCUUAUGAAUAUGAUAGAGGUACUUGAAGAAAUGAAUAAGUCAAUUUCGUAAAGCUAUCAAUCCACUAAGUUGAAUUUCUUAAAUAAAUCAAUUCCUUUAUGUGUGUGUAUUUGCAUAUUACUGUGACUCUGUGUGUGUGUGUGUGUGUGUGUGUGUGUGUGUGUGUAAACAUG
rnacentral:sRNA from 1 species